AGCGCUUAAUCAAUUUGAACGGGAAAACCAAUUUUGGGGUGAAUCCUGCUUAGGCAGGUAGGGUUAAUUUCUUCGAUCCGAAUCCGUCAGCUAAUCUCGCAAGCGUUGAAGGGAAG
rnacentral:sRNA from 1 species